GGUGCUACUGUGUAGUAAACCAAGUAGAGCGAAGCGCAGCGCGAGAGUACCUGCUACUUUCCACUUGCUACUUUCCACUAUGCGCGGUGCGGUGAAGCAAACCCACCGCUCUUGACGCCCCUACUGUAUAUCUGUUGCGGUUAUCCAUCGCUGUGUGCACUUGGCUACAGUUGUAGUUCUUAAAGGUGUUUGAAUUCGACUCUCGUAUAGGCUACCCAUUUUAAUGAAUGUAUGGGAUUGCCCCAACGUUUAUUUUCAAAUAAUUUACGUUUAAUGCAAGACGUAUAGUUUCUUCAUGGCGUCUCAACAGCAGUCAAGAAUUCAGUCGUAUCUGGAGAAAAAUAAAAUUGGACCGCUGUUUGAGGAGAUGAUGACCAGUCUGAUAAGCGAGACCCCAGAUCACCCUAUUCCUUUUCUCAUCAAUCACCUGCAGACCAAGCAAGGCAGCCCCGGCAAGCUGCACAGGACACUGUCGGGCUCCGCCGCACUGUGGGCCCAGAGCUCUGCAGCAGAGAGUAAAGGACGUCGUGACUUCAGGAGUUAUGAGAAGCCCUGGCAGAUCCAUCCUAAGAAACCCAAGAAGUCUAAGAGUGAUCUGGCUGUGUCUAACAUCUCCCCUCCCUCACCAGAGUCCAAGUCCCUGCCGCGGUCCAUAGAGCACCCAUCGUGGGAGUGGAGGGAGAGCAAAGACUUUGAUGAGCUCAACCACAUCCUGCAGGAGAGCAAGAAGCUGGGCAAGGCUCUGGAGAACCUGUCACGCAGUAUCGCUGCUUCUGAUGAACUUGAUCAGAACCUUGGGGGGUAUAACUCAGUGCUGCGGCCUAGGGUUGUGGGGGAGUGGGUGGGCAGGCAGGAAGAGGAUCCAGACCCCCUGGCAGCAGAGAUGCUCCAGCCCCCAGUCCCAAGGAACAAGACUGAGGUGUGGGGGAGGGCCAAUAACAGCCCUGCCUUGAGUGUGAAGAUGGAGGGGAAGAGUAAAGGGUUGAAGCAGCAGCAGCAGCACCACAAGAAGCUCCUGGCGGCCAUGUUGUCCCAGGAUUCCUUUGACUCCGCCCAUAGCUCCGCCCCCUCACUCACCGAGGAGGAAAUAGAGGAUGAGGAUGAUGCCAUGGAACUGUUGGAGGACCUAGAUGACCUGCGUAUGGAGGGGGUAACAGGGCUGGCCCCGUCAGGAAGUAAGUUCAGUCAGGGUCGUAGUUCCUACCUCCCAGAGCCCCAGGCCAAGGUCACACUCAACAUCUGCUCAAGGUGUGCAAGGCUGCAGGGGGACAGUCUGUCAGAUGCCAGUAGACCAGAAGAGGACCAGCACCAUGGACCCUCCCAGCAUGGAUCACCUCAACAUGGACCUCUCCAUGGAACUUCUCAUCCCCUGCUCCCAGAGCAUGCUGCUGUCAACAUGCCUGAUGGAAAUGGGCCUCGUGGACCCCCCCAUCACUUACAACCUGUGCCUGAUAUCUCCUGUUGUUUUCCCGGGGUGGACACAGCGCCGGUACGAGACCAGGAAUGCGAGAGUGUGUCUCAGGUCUCUUUCCCACGUCAGGCAGUCUGGGAGGCUGAUGUGAAGGUGGUUAAAGGAGUAGGAGGAGGGAGCUCGUCCAGGGAGCUGCUGGGACAGACGGGGGGACUGCUGCUAAGUGACUCCCUCUUCUCUAAAGAACUAGAAAACAUGGGCAAACACCUCGCUGAGGUGGAGAAGGACCUGGCCAAACUGGCGGAGCAGGGGAAACUAGCCCAGCGGAGCCCCAACAGCCCCCACAGUAGUCUGCUCCUCACCCCUCUGUUCCACACCUCCCUCCCGGGGGGAACCCUCCCCAACACUCUACCCUUACCAGGCCAGACCUCCAGACCCCCCUCCAGACCCCAGUCCCCCGUCCUCAGCGCCCGCUCAGCCAAGCCCAGCUCCAUAGGCUACCCCCUGGUCAGCCCCAAACUUAGCCCUCUGCUCACCCGGAAACCAACCUCCCUCACCAUGACGACUGGUCACAGAACUCAUUCUCCCAGCAACCCCGGCAGCAGAACUACAACUCCUAGAACCCCCAGCAGCAGGCCCAUGACCCCCAACAGCCUGCUGACCUCCAGGUCGGCCAUGACGGCCGUGACCCCAGGGGUUGGAGGUCAUGGGGGUCAUAAGGAGGUGACGUUCAGGAGGUCGAGGAGCAGACCGGUGACCCCCACCAGUCAGCCGACCCGACCCAGGCCCCUGCUCACCCCUCCUGGGCUGAGUACGACAGAUAGUCUGGGCAAGGCCUCCAGCCUCAGGGCCUAUCUGUCAGAGGAUGAGUUCUACCAGCAGCUGCAGGCCAUCAGACAGCCAUGGCACAUUCCCAGUGACACAGAGAGUGACCUUCUGGAACCACCUGAGCAGGACAAGUAAGGAGAGUGCAUAUCCACACAUAGCCAACUUCUUCAGUGUGGGUGGAUUAUACAACUACAGUGUGGGGUACGAGAUGCCAAUAAGAGAUCCGUGUUCUCAGGCCUAUAGUGAUGAAGACCAGAGAGAGAGGCAUUGAUCCAAUCAAAUAAUUAUGCAAACCACUGGGUAUUUUCAAUAUUGUGUACAGAGACCAUUAUUUUUUAUAAUUCACUCAGUGAGGAAUAUAAAAAAAGAUUGUAUACUUUUUCCACAGAGGUUGAUAUUUCUGAGACCAUGUAGCACCAAGAUGUGUGAACUAUUGUCAAAAAUAGGACAACUUUAGAGUAUGAACUAUGAAAUAUAACUGAAUAUUUCUUUGUGCUUGCUAUUUUAGCAUGCUUACGUCUUUAAAGGAGUUGAAAGAAAAAAAAGCAUUUUGUUGUUUAACACAUUUUUUUCUUGAAGCUAGAAGCAUACUUUGAAACAGUAGCACCUGUACUGUACUGUACUGUACUGUACUGUAUAGAGCCAAUCUCUGGAUAGGCACUUAAGGGCUGGUUUUUUUUGGCUUUCAAGGGAAUAAAAUAAUGGAGCUUUGAUUCACCUUGGAUUGAAGAUUAUUUUCCCCCACACUACAUUACAUGUAGCCUGAUCCCAGAUCUGUUUUUAUUUCAAACCUAAAGCUCCAUUGUUUUCAAAAACAGUAGCUGGUAUGCAGGCUUUCGUACAGAUACUCACCUUGAUUUGAAAAGGACAUCCUUCCUUCUUUUGCACCAAAUUUAGUUCAUUCUAAAUUCUGUUCAUUCUAAAUUCUGUUCAUUCUAAAUUCUGUUAAUAACUUGAAGAGUGUUUCUUCACCACACCAUGGGUCUGUUCAGGAGACUGUGACAUAAGAACUUGCCCCUGGUAAGGGAAGUCUUGAAUCCCGAUUCCUCCUUCCAGGAUUUCUUGGGAAAAUCUAGACAUUUUGGGAAAGGUAACAAUCCUGGUCUACACUGUUAUGUUGAUCUACGACUGUUCCUUUUGUAGCUCUGAGUUUUGUUAUACUUCUGUUGACAUGCAAAUACUUACAAAAUGGAUAAAAGAUUGUUUCUUUUUUAUGCACUGACUGAACCAUUGAAUAAAAACCUGGAAGUGA